CUUAGUUAUAAAGAUAAAGAACCAAUAUUGAACUAAACUGCUAAGUUGACAUGAACGCUGCUAGAAAAUAUCCACAUUGAUGGAACACAUUCCAACUGCUUGGCGAGAUUCGUGAACCAUGCCCAUCCCGGUGUGCCAAUUGUAAAAUAGUGUUACUGGUUCGUGACAAAGUGCCGUAUCUAGGCUUAAAGUCUCUAAAACUCAUAAAGACUAAUGAAGAGCUUAGAUACGAUUAUGGUGACAAAUGCAUGUUGUCUUUGAGAAAGCAGAAGAACUUGUGUGUGCCAUUACAUUUAAAAGAUAUAGAGAAUCAGCUAAAAAAGAUCUCCCAUGCAAGUAUUCUGAAACUGAAGGAAGGGCAAAAAACUGUAAUUGAGGUAGAAGGUGAGCACACUUACAAUGAGAAGUAUAACCUUUCAUCAAUAAACGUGUAUUGUGACACAAUUAUUUUUAUAGUAUUAAAACAGCCUUACAUGAUUAUCAGAGAUCGUGAAAAUUUGUUCAAGCCAUUAAUAUAUAAGACGAAGAUCCCUAACCUUCCCUAAUCCUUCACUUUGAAAAGGGUUGUCUGUUUGAAAUCGACAAGGAAAUCACAAGACAUGACUCGUGUGAUACAAGGCAUCUUAACAGUUCACAUCUAAAUUAGUAUUCUCUAUGGUGCUCUUUUUUAUUCCUAGGGUCACUAUUUUAAAGUAAGAGUCUGUGUGUUUUAAUUUUAUGCUAACUACAACUUCUUAACUGUUUCUGGAAAAGUAUUACUUGGUGCUUUGCAGCUAGUGGGCGGCAAAAAACUUUUUUUAUGGUAUGACAAAUCAACAACGUAGAAAAUGCCUAGAUGUAUUUUCUACAAUUCCUGCAUUACACGUUGUUUUUUGAAAGAUAACCGUAUUUUGACCUGAGCCUCAAUUUUCUUUGCAAAAUGACUGAAUAUAGGCUCAAAUUUUCUUAUUUUUUCUCUUAAUUUUUAUUCCUCUUUGUUUUCUUUAUAAAUAACUACUAUAUUUUAUCGACAUUUGAAAUAACAUUUUUUUGAAGAAAAAAAGACCUCUUUUGUUAUUUUGGGAUAAAACUUUGUUAGUAAUUAAUUCCACAAUUUUGAAUACAUUUUGCCUCCAGAGAUCCAUGAAUGCUGUAUAGCUACUUUACGGAAAAAAAAGAAACUUGAUUGUGUUCUUCUGAAAUUACGGAUAUUUUGGUAACUGUAAAUCUAAAUAUCAAGGUCUUUAAAAAUUGAAUCUUGACAAGCUGAAACCGGGGAUUUUCCUAAAAUGUUUUUACGAUUUCAAGGUUUUUGAGCGUCAUCUAAUAAUCUACACAUUUGUAAAAGAAAGCGCAAAAGUAUUCGUUUUAUCAUAACUCCAACAACGUCUCUUAAGAUCCUUUCUAUUAAUGUUAACGUAAUAAAUAUGUUCUUCCUAGACCUCAAGAUGUUGCCGAUGAUGGCUUUUGUGAAUGUUGCAAGAUACGUUACACAUCACUACAACAUGUAUAUGUGCUGGCUUAAUUGCAAAGAUGAUUCACUAGCGAAAGUGUAGGGAGUCAGAACACUAUAUAUGGAAUAGGAACAUCUGGUUCAGAGCUGCCAAAAUUUAUCUGUUCUUCCAUCCACGAUAUUUAUUGAACAUUUGCAACAAACAUGCAUCAAACAUUCGCAAUAAGAUGAAAAUAAAUUUACACAAGUUAUUGACUUGAUCAAUUCAUGGCUUGAAAUUCAUUAAAAGUAUUAUAGAACAUUCAAUUUAUUGUUAGAUUAUGCUAUAAAUGUUUUUCUAUUUACAAAACAUAGCAUUUUAAUUGUAAUUCAUAUUUCUUCUUAUUGGAAAAAAGAUUAUAUUUUAUUAUA